rnacentral:rRNA from 1 species
CAGCAGCCGCGGGAAUACAGAGGGUGCGAGCGUUAAUCGGAUUUACUGGGCGUAAAGCGUGCGUAGGCGGCUUUUUAAGUCGGAUGUGAAAUCCCUGAGCUUGACUUAGGAAUUGCAUUCGAUACUGGGAAGCUAGAGUAUGGGAGGGGAUGGUAGAAUUCCAGGUGUAGCGGUGAAAUGCGUAGAGAUCUGGAGGAAUACCGAUGGCGAAGGCAGCCAUCUGGCCUAAUACUGACGCUGAGGUACGAAAGCAUGGGGAGCAAACAGGAUUAGAUACCCGUGUAGUCCCUGUCUCUUAUAC